rnacentral:tRNA from 1 species
GGCUCUGUGGCGCAAUGGAUAGCGCAUUGGACUUCUAAUUCAAAGGUUGUGGGUUCGAAUCCCACCAGAGUUG